rnacentral:rRNA from 1 species
GACGAACGCUGGCGGCGUGCUUAACACAUGCAAGUCGAGCGGUAAGGCCCUUUCGGGGGUACGACGAGCGGCGAACGGGUGAGUAACACGUGGGUGACCUGCCCUUAGCUCUGGGAUAAGCCUGGGAAACUGGGUCUAAUACCGGAUAUGACUCCAUGACGCAUGUUGUGGGGUGGAAAGCCUUGUGCGGCUAGGGAUGGGCCCGCGGCCUAUCAGCUUGUUGGUGGGGUGAUGGCCUACCAAGGCGACGACGGGUAGCCGGCCUGAGAGGGCGACCGGCCACACUGGGACUGAGACACGGCCCAGACUCCUACGGGAGGCAGCAGUGGGGAAUCUUGCGCAAUGGGCGAAAGCCUGACGCAGCGACGCCGCGUGGGGAUGACGGCCUCGG